UUGGUGAUGAAAAUGAGACGAAUAUGCAUGUAUUUAGGCCUAUAUGGCUUUCUUUCAUUGGUCGCUAAUAUUCAGAACUUUUUUCUCAAUAUGCAGUAUGUUCUAAUCAGCCUAUCGAGAACAUUUUAAUUAAAGGUACACCAAAUUUAAAGGGAUGGCUUUAUAUAAAUGUACUGAGAACCCUAUUGAAUGAAAACUCCAUGAGAAAAUCUGUUGGCCAGGGUUUUCAGCGGAUUAAUUAAAUAUUUUCAGUGCGAGCAAGGUAUCCGCACCUGCAAAGUCUAGCCUUUUGAGUGACUAAAAUGUGACCAACCUACUCAAAAGGAGUUAUGUAGCAAUAUUUGAAAUUGUGUCUUUUACAUUGGAUAAAAGUAGAGACUCAGAGCUAGAAAAUGGUAUAUCAUACACUGCAGUUGAGGAACAAUGGGAAAGUCAUUCUGCUUUGAAAGUUGAUAAACUUGUAACCUCACUUUUGAGAAAAUGGCCCUUGAAUGUUUUGGGACACCUGGAGAGCUCUUUUUUGUCUACACCCAUUCAGCAUCAUUCACACCCUCUUAAGCUUUAGCCCCACCCAUCUCUUUAAGGAUUUACGUGUGAGGCCAUGUACAAAACAACCAAAGACACCUACGAAUAAGGACUGUGUGAUGAUGGCAUCUCAGGGAAGAAUGGCACAGCAGCUAUUGAUCAGGUUAAGGGAUAGGUUAAGAUCUAUCAUCAGCAGAUUACCCAUUGAUUUGUGUGCAGACAAGCAUUACAGUUUGUUCGAGCUGGGGUCAACCAUUUACAGAAGGAUGAAAGAACACAAAAUGUAUUACAGGGAAUGCUAUUCUGAUAUGUCAGAUGAAGAGUUAGACCAGAAAGUCAGAUACUACAUUGUCAUCUUUGGCGGUAUAGAUGGAUUUUCAAGGAAGAUGUUCUAUCUGGACACUGCGGCCAAUAACAAAGCAGCAACUGCUUUUGGAUACUUUAUGGAUGGAGUCGGCAGAAAUGGAUGGCCUUCAAGCUGCUAGAUGUCAGCUGCUAAGAUUUACACCACAUAAACACUCAGCCAUUUUCGCUGGACUAUCAAGCCUCAGUUGCUGCCAAGUUAUGAUUUCCCUGGGGGUUAUCCUUGCAAUAACCAAGUGAUGAGACACAUAGCCCUCUAUAUUUAAAUGUUUCAGGUACACUCCGAUAGGUGUCUGCGUCACAUACAGUCAGUAACCACUCACAGAGGCACAAACAACUUGCAUUUCUAUAACCUUGGACCCACCUCAGUGUUCACUAUUCAUGGAGGAAGACCACAGGACCACAGAGAUUAGCCCCCCCACCCCACAAAACCUUUUAUUUCUCUCUGUUAGAGUGGAACGCUUAUGGAGAGAUCUUCGGAGUGCUGUGACUAGUCAGUACUACAACUUGCUGCACAGUUUGGAGGAAGAAGGCUACCUUGACCUGUCGAAUUCUAUCCACCUCUUCUUUGUGGGAUA
rnacentral:lncRNA from 1 species